rnacentral:rRNA from 1 species
GAUGAACGCUGGCGGCGUGCCUAAUACAUGCAAGUCGAACGGCACAGCGAAAGGUGCUUGCACCUUUCAAGUGAGUGGCGAACGGGUGAGUAACACGUGGACAACCGUGCCUCAAGGCUGGGGAUAACAUUUGGAAACAGAUGCUAAUACCGAAUAAAACUCAGUGUCGCAUGACACAAAGUUAAAAGGCGCUUUGGCGUCACCUAGAGAUGGAUCCGCGGUG